AUUGUGACAAUUUAGACUGAUAGCAUUCUUCGCAGGCUCUUCAAUCUGGGAUUGUAUGGAUUAAUUGUUCACAGCCCUGUUUCUCCCAAGCACCCUGGGGGGGAACGAAACGAAGUGGAUUUGGGCGUGAACUCGGAGAAUGGGGUCUCGAAAACUACUUGAGUGUGAAACAGGUGACUGAAUACAUCUCAAAUGAUGCAUGGGGAUGGUAUCCACCUCCGUCGAAGUUGUAAUGUGCAUUGGAUCGAGGUAUGCUAGUUCCUUUGGCUUCGAUCAUGAGGAUGGUAUCCACCUCAUUUUUUAUAUGAUGGCGAACUAGCUCUGUGUUUGAAGUGCUAUGGUUCAGGUGAAGUAGUUCUCAUGUACUGAAUCCUGCAAAAUAAUUUGCCGCCCUGUUGUCAUCUUUGUGUUAAAUUGGACUUUUAAUGUCUGUUUUUGUUGCUGAAUGGGACAUGGUCAAUUGUCAUGCGUGUUUAUUAAAAAAAAAAAUACUGAUAUUGAGGAGGUGAAAUAACUUAAAAAAUCUAUGGACUCAUGGCAAUGCAGUGGCACUUUAUUAUUUA